rnacentral:rRNA from 1 species
GAUGAACGCUGGCGGCGUGCCUAAUACAUGCAAGUCGAGCGAACAGACGAGGAGCUUGCUCCUCUGACGUUAGCGGCGGACGGGUGAGUAACACGUGGAUAACCUACCUAUAAGACUGGGAUAACUUCGGGAAACCGGAGCUAAUACCGGAUAAUAUAUUGAACCGCAUGGUUCAAUAGUGAAAGACGGUUUUGCUGUCACUUAUAGAUGGAUCCGCGCCGCAUUAGCUAGUUGGUAAGGUAACGGCUUACCAAGGCAACGAUGCGUAGCCGACCUGAGAGGGUGAUCGGCCACACUGGAACUGAGACACGGUCCAGACUCCUACGGGAGGCAGCAGUAGGGAAUCUUCCGCAAUGGGCGAAAGCCUGACGGAACAACGCCGCGUGAGUGAUGAAGGUCUUCGGAUCGUAAAACUCUGUUAUUAGGGAAGAACAAAUGUGUAAGUAACUAUGCACGUCUUGACGGUACCUAAUCAGAAAGCCACGGCUAACUACGU